GUAGGGAAUAUUGGGCAAUGGAGGCAACUCUGACCCAGCCAUGCCGCGUGCAGGAUGACGGCCCUCUGGGUUGUAAACUGCUUUUAUACGGGAAGAAAAAAUACUACGUGUAGUAUACUGACGGUACCGUAAGAAUAAGGAUCGGCUAACUCCGUGCCAGCAGCCGCGGUAAUACGGAGGAUCCAAGCGUUGUCCGGAUUUAUUGGGUUUAAAGGGUGCGUAGGCGGAUCUUUAAGUCAGUGGUGAAAGCCUGCAGCUUAACUGUAGAAUUGCCAUUGAAACUGAAGAUCUUGAAUGUGGUUAAAGUAGGCGGAAUGUAUCAUGUAGCGGUGAAAUGCGUAGAUAUGAUACAGAACACCGAUAGCGAAGGCAGCUUGCUGAACCAUUAUUGACGCUGAGGCACGAAAGCGUGGGGAGCGAACAGGAUUAGAAACCCGAGUAGUCC
rnacentral:rRNA from 1 species